rnacentral:rRNA from 1 species
GAUGAACGCUGGCGGCGUGCCUAAUACAUGCAAGUCGAGCGAACAGACGAGGAGCUUGCUCCUCUGACGUUAGCGGCGGACGGGUGAGUAACACGUGGAUAACCUACCUAUAAGACUGGGAUAACUUCGGGAAACCGGAGCUAAUACCGGAUAAUAUAUUGAACCGCAUGGUUCAAUAGUGAAAGACGGUUUUGCUGGCACUUAUAGAUGGAUCCGCGCCGCAUUAGCUAGUUGGUAAGGUAACGGCUUACCAAGGCAACGAUGCGUAGCCGACCUGAGAGGGUGAUCGGCCACACUGGAACUGGGACACGGUCCAGACUCCUACGGGAGGCAGCAGUAGGGAAUUUUCCGCAAUGGGCGAAAGCCUGACGGAGCAACGCCGCGUGAGUGAUGAAGGUCUUCGGAUCGUAAAACUCUGUUAUUAGGGAAGAACAAAUGUGUAAGUAACUAUGCACGUCUUGACGGUACCUAAUCAGAAAGCCACGGCUAACUACGUG